GUAUAAAAAAAUGAAAGAGAAUGAGUGGAGAUUUAAAUCGAAUACAAUUAUAAUUUCUAAUCAUAAAAAUUUUCUUUUUAAGUUUUUUGCUCUGACUUCUUAGUCUUU
rnacentral:ribozyme from 13 species